AGCAAAUACAUAAAUAAAAUCAGUAGCUUAAACAAAAUGAAGUGUUUGUUAUUGUUAUGUUUGUGUUUGGUUCCCAUUGCGGUGUUUUCAUCAACUUUCACUUCCCAAAAUCUCAUCGACCUAUCAAGUGACGCUACUCCAGUACUUGAUAUAACUGGUAAAGAACUUGAUCCUCGUUUGAGUUAUAUUAUUACUUCCACAUUUUGGGGUGCUGGAGGUGGAGAUGUGUACCUAGGUGAGUCCCCAAAUUCAGAUGCCCCUUGUCCAGAUGGUGUGUUUCGUUACAAUUCUGAUAUUGGACCUAGCGGUACACCAGUUAGAUUUGUUCCUUUAUCUAUGCAGUAUGGAUGGACCAAGUAUAUAUGAAGAUAAAGUAGUCAACAUACAAUUCGAUAUUUCAACAAUCGAAAAUUAUGUGUUAAUUAUACAAUUUGGAAAGUGGGAGAUUACGAUGAAUGUGUAGGAGCGAUGUUGUUGGAGGAACCAUAGGCGAAGUAGAUAGCGGUUGGUUCAUGAUUGUUAAAUCAUCACUUGUUGGUUACAACUUAUUGUAUUGCCCAUCAACUCCUUUUAUUUGUCCACUUUGUCCUCCUCAUCAGUUCUGUGCAAAAGUGGGUGUAAUUCCUCAACAUGGAAAAAGGCGUUUAGCUCUUGUCAAAGACCAUCAUCCUCUUGAUGUCCAAUUCAAGCAAGUCUAGUAACAAAUAAUGCUUGCAGCUACACUAUAUGUUAUGUUGUAAUGUAAAAUAAAUACCUGUUAAGGUAUAUCUAGCAUGGCUUUCUUAAUAAAUUGUCUCCUUUACUAUCUCGAGCCCUUUGCUUACACCUAAUAAUGAAAUAAUAUCACAUAUGAGAGUAAAUGAGCGGCAUAAUACAUAAAUAUGACCCUUAACUUGACUUUAGCGAAUAACUAUGCUCUUCAAUUUUUAUUUUGCACAAAUAGACGCUUAAACUUGUAUAAAAUUGAAUAAUUA